GAGGAUAUAGUCUAGCGGUGCUUAGGGGUGUUUGACCCCCAGUCGAAAGGUUCUGGGUUCGAACCCCAACAUCCACA